rnacentral:rRNA from 1 species
CCUACGGGAGACUGCAGUGAGGAAUAUUGGUCAAUGGACGAGAGUCUGAACCAGCCAAGUAGCGUGAAGGAUGACUGCCCUAUGGGUUGUAAACUUCUUUUAUAUGGGAAUAAAACGUUCCACGUGUGGGAUUUUGUAUGUACCAUAUGAAUAAGGAUCGGCUAACUCCGUGCCAGCAGCCGCGGUAAUACGGAGGAUCCGAGCGUUAUCCGGAUUUAUUGGGUUUAAAGGGAGCGUAGGUGGAUUGUUAAGUCAGUUGUGAAAGUUUGCGGCUCAACCGUAAAAUUGCAGUUGAAACUGGCAGUCUUGAGUACAGUAGAGGUGGGCGGAAUUCGUGGUGUAGCGGUGAAAUGCUUAGAUAUCACGAAGAACUCCGAUUGCGAAGGUAGUUCACUGGACUGCAACUGACACUGAGGCUCGAAAGUGUGGGUAUCAAACAGGAUUAGAUACCCCAGUAGUC